AUGGGCUCUCACGCAUCCAACCAAUAGUUCUCAUAGUUCUCAUCGUAUUGUCUAUAUAGACAGUGAUUCUCACAUUCUCUAAGGAGAAAAUGGAUGGAUUGUCGCAAAUGGGGGUUUCAGUGUUGGGCGAUGUUGCAGCCGCAACCAUCACCGGGCUUCGAGAGAACAAAAGUUCGUGUUCAUGCAGAUUGUGGUACCUAAGGAUGUGCACCAUAGACCAGCAAGAGAAUCAAGAAGAGUGCAAAGAAGGAACAAAUAGUUAAAGUUUAAUCCAAUGUACCCUGGAUCCUCUGUUUGUGCUGAAGCCUGUGUACUGUAUAAGCUGGACAUGAUGAUAUGUUCAUGUGAAGCUCUUCUAGAAGCAGCAAAGGACUAUUACCAAGAAGCAUAGGACAAAUAAUACGUAAGGAGCAGUAAGAAAAUUAAGAAGAAAAGGAUGAAUUGAGCGUUUAAUUUUGAUACCUGAGACCUGAGAGUGGAACGAAGAAGGUGACUGACAAUGAACAUUGUGGGAUGAACUCCCUCAAGAAUGUGUUCUUAGAGCUUCAAAUAGAUGCACACACAUAGGACUAGAGAGUUGAAAUUUAACCACAAAUUUGUAUUCGAAUCAAUAUGCUGUUCAUCCCUCGCCUUUCUCCAAUUCUUUAUUAUAUUUUUGGAGCGACUAAAAUAGAGAUGAGUUCUUAACGAUAGUAA